rnacentral:rRNA from 1 species
GAUGAACGCUGGCGGCGUGCCUAAUACAUGCAAGUCGAGCGAAAAUACUAUAAGCUUGCGUGUUUGAACUUACCGAUAAACGGGUGAGUAACAAGCGGGUAACUAACCUAUAGGACAGGGAUAACUUCGGGGAAGCGAAGCCAAGACAGCAUAAUAUAAUAACGCACAUGCAUCAAUAGUGCAUGGCAGCUUUGUAAUAACUGGCUAUAGUACCGCCUCCGGAUUGGCCCGCGGCGCAUUAGCUAGUUGGUAGGGUAAAGGCUUACCAAGGCAACGAUGCGUAGCCGAAUUGAGAGGUUGAUCGGCCACACUGGAACUGAGACACGGUCCAAACUCCUACGGGAGGCAGCAGUAGGGAAUCUUCCGCAAUGGGCGAAAGCCUGACGGAGCAACGCCGCGUGGGUGAUGAAGGUCUUCGGAUCGUAAAACUCUGUUGUUAGGGAAGAAAGAGUGUGUGAGUAACUAUGCACGUCUUGACGGUACCUAACCAGAAAGCCACGGCUAACUACGUG